rnacentral:pre_miRNA from 1 species
AAACAGCCCCCUAUGUUUUGAUUCUUUGGCAGUUUUGGACCUCCAUGGCAAAAAAAAUAAUAAAAAUGACACGUGACACCUCACUUAGGGUGCCACGUCAGCUUGACCGAGUCAACAAUGGACUUGGGGUCCAAAACUGUCAAAGAAUCAAAACAUAGGGGGCUGUUU